rnacentral:lncRNA from 1 species
GCUUGUUAUAAAUCAUGCAACAUCGUCAAAGGUCAAUUGCUGCAACAUGUCAGGUAUGCAGAUCCAAUUGACCCUACAUGUGAAGGUGCUUAUAUAUACCCACCACGGAGAAGCUCACUACCAUUGAGGCCGCUCCCACUGUGUAGGAGUUUGCUACCAGGAGGCUACCCACAUCGUAGAGGGUCUGAGUUGGAACUUGAAAUAAUUUGAUCGGUUCUUUGUCAUUUGGUCAACAUCCAUUAGAGCUUCUCCCCCCAUUUUCUCUUGACCUCAAACUCCCAUUGCACCCCAUCCGCAGGAAUCAUUGUGCCAACGACGCCACUCAACAUCUCUGUUUCCCCUCUCAUCCUUCCACAUUCUUCUCUCAACAAAAUGGCAUGGGAGGAGGCUUUACAAUACAACUUCAAGUGUUUGAUAUUGCCACAUGAAGAAGCUAGCAAUUUAUUUAGUUGCAUGUAGUGAGCAUGAACUUAGUUCUUCACCAAACAAUCUUCCAAUUAUCUAUCUUGUUCCAAG